AGAAAUAUUUUUUUCUCAAAUAAUUAGAACAGACAGCAGCAAAGAAAGCUUUAGAAAGCAAUGAUUAUGAAUUAGGAAAACUUUUAUCAAUGCUACCAGAGGUUAUGACUCUCUUUACAUUCAAGAUGUCAAGUCUAUCUCUUAUACCUUCAAUCACAUAGGAAGAGAAUAUAUAAAUUACAGAUACAGAGAUAUGGACUACGACGCUACAGUUCCCGCAUCUACGAAGACAUAAAUUAAGAAUAAACUUGAAUAAUAAUAUUAAACGACUACGGCAGGAAUGGUUGCUACAAGGAAAUUUUCAACGAAAUGAAGGCUCUGGAAAACCAAAAACCACAAAUGCGAGCCAAGAUAGGAUGAUUGUUCGCCAGACCCAAACCACCCCAACGGUAUCAUUGUCGACUAAUGAACGCACUAGAACCACGUCUAUACCUCCCGUGGUACCAUUCACCACCUCACGGCGCUUGUCUGAGGCGGGGUAUGCUCCCAGAGGUUUUGAAGACGCUUGCCUUCGACCUCACAACAUCGGCAGAGUUGUCUGAAGUGGGUUCGCAGCCGAUCAGAAUGGCUGCCAUCAGACUGGCAUCCUAUAGUGUUCAGCGACGAAUCCCGCUUCACUCUUUAAGCAGAUGACCACCGUCUCGUGUCUGGAGAGAACGGGACCAAUCAGCCUUUGUUUCACAAAGGUAUACAACCAUAAACCCUGGUGUGAUGGUAUGGGGCGCUAGUUCUUAUGACAGCAGGUCAUCUUUAGUCAUGCUCCGUAUAUCUUUAACAGCUCAAUGAUAUGUUGAUACCAUGCUGCGACCGGUUGCAUUACCCUUCUUGGCACGUCAUCCUGGGGCCAUUUUCCAACAAGAUAAUGCCAGGGCAAAUACCGCUCCCAUAUCUAUGGACUGUCUCCGUGCGGUUGAUGCUCUUCCUUGGCCAGCAAGGUCACCAGACCUUUCACCAAUCGAGCAUGUCUGGGGCAUGAUGGGCCGCCAGAUUCGGGCACCAUAAAAUUUCUUAGAUCUGGAGCAACAACUGAUGAAUGCCUGGCAGAAUAUGUCGCAGGAUUACAUUAGGAACCUCUGUCACUCCUUGCCUCAAUGAAUUCAAGCAUGAAUUGCCACCACUGGUGGUUCGAUCAACUACAAAUUGGAACACUCAAUGGGUAAUUGUGAGCCGUGAACAGAUACCAUGUCCUUGAUGUUUUAAUCAUUUUAUUAUCUGUGUAUGAGCUAUACGCAUAUUCAGUUUUAUAAAAAACAACCACUUCCUUCA